rnacentral:lncRNA from 1 species
GGAUAGGGAAGUAAUAAUGAAAAUUAUUAUGAUACUUAAUAUAGUAAAUAAACUUUAAUAUAUAAUAUAUUUAUUAAUUUAAAGUUUAUAUAUCAGGUUAGGGUCAGGCUUGGGCCAGGUUAAUGUAAACUGGAGCUAGCCUAUUUAAAAGAUAGAUUUGAAUUUUAUGCUCGAUCUAACCCACUAGUUUGCAAAAUUAAGCCCAAGCCUGUCUUAAACAUGUCACGCUCAGACGGGUUGCUUGGGAUA